UCCCCCUUAGCUCAGUGGUAGAGCGCUUCACUAGUAUUCUGUACAUGAAGAGGUCAGUCGUUCAAGUCGGCUAGGGGGAA